GACGAACGCUGGCGGCGUGCUUAACACAUGCAAGUCGAACGGUAAGGCCCUUCGGGGUACACGAGUGGCGAACGGGUGAGUAACACGUGGGUGAUCUGCCCUGCACUUCGGGAUAAGCCUGGGAAACUGGGUCUAAUACCGGAUAGGACUCCUGGCUUCAUGGUUGGGGGUGGAAAGCUUUUGCGGUGUGGGAUGGGCCCGCGGCCUAUCAGCUUGUUGGUGGGGUAAUGGCCUACCAAGGCGACGGCGGGUAGCCGGCCUGAGAGGGUGACCGGUCACACUGGGACUGGGAUACGGCCCAGACUCCUACGGGAGGCAGCAGUGGGGAAUAUUGCACAAUGGGCGCAAGCCUGAUGCAGCGACGCCGCGUGAGGGAUGACGGCCUUCGGGUUGUAAACCUCUUUCAGCUAUGACGAAGCGCAAGUGACGGUAGUAGCAGAAGAAGGACCGGCCAACUACGUGCCAGCCGCCGCAGUAA
rnacentral:rRNA from 1 species